GACGAACGCUGGCGGCGUGCCUAACACAUGCAAGUCGAACGGAAAGGCCCCCAUCUUGGUGGGGGUGCUCGAGUGGCGAACGGGUGAGUAACACGUGGGUGAUCGGCCGUGUACUUCGGGGUAAGCUUGGGAAACUGGGUCUAACAUCGGAUAGGACCAUGGUUUAGUGUCUCAUGGUGGCAAGAUGAUUGUUGUGGUGCAGGAUAGGCUCGCGGCCUAUCAGCGUGUGGGUGGGGUAAUGGCCUACGAAGGCGUCGACGGGUGGCCGGCGUGAGAGCGUGGACGCGGACAGUGGGACAGGGUCACGGCUCAGACUCCAACGGGCAGUAGGAGUGGGGGAUAAUGGAGCAUGGGCGUAAGCCUGAUGCAGCGACGCCGCGUAGAAGGUGUCGGCCUUGGGGUUGUAAACUCCUUUCGAGAAGGACGAGGCCACGAUUUUUGGGUGUGGUGACGGUACCUUUGUGAAGAAGCACCGGCUAACUACGUG
rnacentral:rRNA from 1 species